UCCAGACUCCUACGGGAGGCAGCAGUGGGGAAUAUUGCACAAUGGGGGGAACCCUGAUGCAGCGACGCCGCGUGAGGGAAGAAGGUUUUCGGAUUGUAAACCUCUGUCCUCUGUGACGAUAAUGACGGUAGCAGAGGAGGAAGCCACGGCUAACUACGUGCCAGCAGCCGCGGUAAUACGUAGGGGGCAAGCGUUAUCCGGAUUUACUGGGUGUAAAGGGAGCGUGGACGGCAGCGCAAGUCUGAAGUGAAAUCCCAUGGCUUAACCAUGGAACUGCUUUGGAAACUGUGCAGCUGGAGUGCAGGAGAGGUAAGCGGAAUUCCUAGUGUAGCGGUGAAAUGCGUAGAUAUUAGGAGGAACACCAGUGGCGAAGGCGGCUUACUGGACUGUAACUGACGUUGAGGCUCGAAAGCGUGGGGAGCAAACAGGAUUAGAUACCCUGGUA
rnacentral:rRNA from 1 species